AAGGGGUUUGGCUAAGGUGGAAAUUGAACAGCUUCUGUCAUACAAAUUCAAUCCAGAUUCUCGUCACGGAGACCAGACGUCCUGUGUGGUCUGCAUGUGUGAUUUUGAAUCGCGCCAGAUGCUCAGAGUUCUUCCUUGCUCACACGAGUUUCACGCAAAGUGUGUCGAUAAAUGGCUCAAGUCCAAUAGAACAUGUCCAAUUUGUCGUGGUGAUGCAUCUGAAUACCUCAGUCAUUUGGAUUAGAAGAAUACUGCAGGGUUUUGAAAAGAAGUUCCGUCAGCUUGAAGUUGAAAUAAUUUACGUGAAGACAAAUCGUUGUUAACUCCCGGUUGUUUUGUUUUGAUAAUGUUACAUAUAUGUGUGUGUGUGUGUGCAUUACACAAGUCAUUGUGCUGCUAGCUCUAAGCUGUGAACAAAAUGAUGUUUUACCUCAGAUCAUACAAAAUGAAGGACCAAUGUUACAGAGAGCAAUAAGAUUUGACACUCUUGGUGCUGUCAGAAUGCAAGGUAAUAUUCCUAUAUUACUUUUUUAAUCUCCCUGGUGAUAUGCUUGUUUUGUUUUACACGACUGUCUGUUUUGUUUGUUAUUUUUCACAUGUGUAUGUAGGCUGAAACAGUUUGUUAGAUAUUUUGGUUUGCACCUUUUAUGUAUUGUAAAUUUUUCUUGUAGCUGCAGGAAAUCACUUCUGAGGUGAACUUGAUGUAUGAUCCAUCCAGGUUAAGUUUUGUUGUAAAACAACAGUCUCUUUUGUUUGAGUGAAAACGGUGCAUAUGAAACCAUAUUAAAAUUAAUACAAUUUGUAUAAAGAUGAAGCUAGAUUUUUGGGGGUGCCUUGUGUUUGAAAGUAUAGGAGUUCAAACAAUGACAGCUGUGUCGAGAUGUAUUCUGAAAGUAAUUUGCUAGAUUGAGUGGAAGAAGAAGGAUACCGCAAGUUGCAAAUGGAAAUUAUGCAAAGUUUUCUAACCUUGCAGAUUGUCAUAUCUUGUUUAAUUUUGUGCUUCUAUAGAUAUAGUAAUGAACUUCUUGACAUCUCCCAGUCCAAGGUCUGUGAAUAAUUAUUUUGAAGGAAAAUAAACCUCAUUGAAAUGUAUUAUAUGCACAAAUAGUUUUAUGUAUUACUGAGAAAAUAACUUAUUACUGAAUGAAAAAUUAUGAAAUUGCUAUUGUUUCUAUCAUCUGUUUCAGAAUGUUUAAGGGUUAUUUUGUAUUCAUGCUAGAGGGAGGUGGCAUUAUCCAAACCUGAGUGAAAUUUACUAAAUUUCGUACCUUACUUAUUUGCUUCUUAAAACUUUUAGUCUUGUUAUAACAUGAAAGAAUAAAUUCUCCUUUUUAGUUGAGUUCGGCAUCAUUCGAAAAAGCUUCCGCUGUUCCAUCCCACCAGUGUUAUGCCGAGCAGGGGUGGUCAAAGAAUGCUUUCAAGUCACAUGUCUCUCUACUCUUUAAAAUGCAGUUUUAGCAAAUGGGUGUAAAAGUUCACAUAAUACCCUUGCCACUGAGCAUAUUUGUCUGAUAGAAAAUAGGGUGAAUAUGUAGAAACAUACUAAAAGUAAUAAGACUGAUACAUUGACUUUCUGAAAGUAAAUGCUGCAUCAUGUUCUAUUCUUUAUAUACUGGUAUGAAGUUUUAUUUUUCAUGCUAGGUCCUGUUUCUAUGUCUUUAUAAACGUCUAUUUCAGUCAGAUAGUAAUGGUUAGAAAACCAUCCCUUUGUAAAGUUAAUAUGUAGAAAUUAUGUAACUGGUAUCAAAAUGCUAAAUGCAUGCAGUUUGUAUCAUAAGUAUCUUGAUCAUGUUGAUUACCCAAAUCAGGAAUGUUAGCCACCCCUGUAUACGUCUGAGCAAAUCUGCUGAAACUAAGAUUUGUGUUGUUUUUUUGUUAAUACAUUCUGUGACUGCAUAGUACAAAAAUGCACUUGUAAUAAUGUUUACUGUAGACCUAGUUUAGUUCUGAUGUGCCAGAUGCAGCUUCUGAAUUUUGCUGUUCCAUGCAGAGUGAACAUUUCUUCCUAUUUACGGUCAUAUAUUUUGAGGCAUGUAAAUAUUUUUGCUUGUUUUUUUUAAGAACUUGAAGCAAUACAUGUGUGUUGUAGGCAGUAAAGAAAUCAUUUCUUUAAUACCAUGUUUUGUAAAGUGUGUGUGCAUGGUGUAAGUUUGGUGUAUUCCUGUAUCAACAUGUUCCGCAUGUAUAUGAUAUGAAUCCCAUAUUUGGUGACCAUUUUCAGUUUUAUGUUGUCAUUCAGGUUUAAACAAUCCUUGAUAUCUAACCCUGUUCAUCCAACUAUUCAAUGUGAUUCAUUGCUUAGAUCAUGGCAAAAUUUGUAGUUAAAAUUAUACUCUAGCAGUAUUUGGUUUAAAUGUUCCUAAACGGGAUGAUUUAUAUUACUUUGUGUAUAUUUUGUGUGUGAGGAUGGUAUAAACAGUAAACUUAAUUUCUUGUGUUAUGCAUGUGUAAUUUGCUUGCUUAUUUUUUAUGGAUUAUUUGGGACAGUUCAUUGCGUUAUUUAAAUAUGCAGAUUACGCAAAAGUAUAAUACUAAUUCUGACAGAACAUGUUAUCUAAAUAUUCAUGGGCUGGUUGAAAAGAAAUUAUGAACUAGCACAUGGAAAUACACCCAACCACUUCUAAGAUGUGGCAUGUAGGUUCAAGUGUUUGAUCCAGAAUCCCCCUCCCCCACACUUUCAAAUCAAAUUAACACAUGCACUGUUGGGAUGUAUUAGAAUCUCAUAACAGGUAUUAAUACUGUACUUUGCGAUCUGUUACUAUUUAAUAGAUUUCAUUAUAUUAUUUAUUUCUUCAACAUACAGAAUCCAUGCCAUGAAUAAUCUGCUCAGGCAUAAUUUGCGUUUUAUUGUAUAUAUGUACAAUUAAUCAUUUCUAAUUAACUUCAGACAAAGAACAUUUAACAGUUCAGCAGUAUUGGAGAAAAUACACGUUUUCUGGACAGAUUUGUCAAGGAGUUUAAGAUAUUAGUUCUGUGCUGGAAUGAUAUGAAUAUGAACUGUUUGUAAGAAAGAUAAUUAAGAGAUGGCUGAAUAUUUAGGUAUACAGAAUAAAUAUAAAAUAACGCAUCAGUUUCUGUUUCUGACGUGGUAUGUGUCUUGUGUUUGUUUUUGUGAGAUGUGAAAUGGCCACACACAAGCAGAGGAAUGUGUACAGGACAAAUUUGUACAUUCCCCAAAAUUGAGUGUUGAAUAUAUUUUUUAAAAAUGUAAAUCUAAUAAUAUUGCUACUCAGUCUCAGGCAUUGAUUAGAAAUCUAGAAGCUGAGAUAAGUACAAGAUGGAAGGGGCAGAAAUCACACUUCAACAAAUUUAGUGCAGUUUUAUCAGUCCUCAAAGAGUAAUACAUCAUGUAGUUCAUAAAAGGGGUAUACGCAUCUUCCUCUUGCCAAUGUGUAUGUAAAUAAAAGUCUCUAAUCGUGAUGGGCAAAUGCUUGAUUUUUAAGAUAGGUGAACAGAUUUCGAGUAAUACGGUACAAGACCAUGCAUAUGAAGUCUGAGUGGUUUCCAAUUUGGGGAAGAAUUUCAGAAUAGUCAAAAUAUCAAUUUUAUCUAUCCAAUCUUUUCUUUUGAUUAAACAUAUAUUCAUCAUACCAAUAGAAAAUAAAAAUUUAACAUUUACAGUAAGUUAGCCAGCCAUGGGCAGUGUAAUUAAUUGUUAUUAUAUUCUGUCUUAUGUGUCUUCCAAAAUGGUUAACGUCUCAGUAUUUCUAUACCUGCCAUUUAUAUUAUGAUUUGAAGCUGCUGUCUGUUGACAAUAGUUACUUACCUUUGCUGCAGAAAAUUACUAUAAAUAGGAAAUAACUGUUUCUAUAAACCUUACCUUCAUGUUUUUUUGUGUUGAUGCCAUAUUGUGGACCUCUUUGUUAACAGUGUGGAGAAAUUAUAUCUACACAUGGGCAGACUAACCCACCACAAUACUCUGUCAUCAUCAAAAACUGGGAAGUCAUUAAUUUCUUUUUCUUAUGCCUUAUUUACUGUUAUGACAUCUUCAUGUUUCAUCAUAUAUCCUUUUCAAAAUCAUUACACUUCUGCAUUUAGGAACGAUUGCCCUUCUUUUCGAUGUUAAGUUGGGAAUUUUCUUUUUAAAAAAGAUAUGGAUACAAUUUCAAAUACUUGUCUUGCAUAGGAAUGGUUAAAUAUGAAAUACUGUCAGAUGUGUUGGCUAAGCAAAUUGCAUAUUUAUCCAAAUACUGCACUGCAUCUUUUUCGUAAAAUGUUUGCAUCAGUGAAGCUAAUGAAAAGGGGAAUUGUACUGUGACCAGAAAGUUCUGUACAAAUGAAAGGGUGGAAGAUCUUCCCCAACAAACACACACAUACACAAAAUCUGGGUGCACAUCUUAUUUGGGAAAAUGUGGUAUUUGGAUAAAUACAGUUUGUCUGUGAAUUAUGAUAUAUUUUGGUAUGGUAUUUUCUUAGAGAACUGUUACUUUUGUGGUUUGUAAACAUUCCUAAUAUAGGACUCUAAUUUUAACCUGAAUACAGAAUUUCAGUGCAAUAUCUACCAUUAUGUUAAAAUUAACAAAAAAAUUAUUUGAAAUAUUUUUGUGAUUGUGAUGUGUUGUUAAUGCUUCCUCAUUCAUUGUUGUUUUGUUGUCUGUUGAUUUAUUGAUUUUCUAAAGGUUUGUGACUGACCAGUUCACUGUACAGUUAUUAUGUUGGACAUUUCCUUGUGUCGGCUGUUUAUUUUUUCUGGCUUUGCAUAGGAAUAGUCUGAUAUUUGUCUUCCUUUUACAGCUUGAUCAGGAAUGUCUCAUAAGUUCUAAAUGUACCUUUUACUCCAGAUCCGUAAUAGGUAUGAGAACCAGUUCCCAAAUUGUGCAUAUCAAGUACACACUGUUCAUUAUCCAAGAUAAUAAUUUGUAUAAUGUUGUAUUAUUGCUUUCUUGCUCAACAUGUUUAAGACAGUUGGAAGCUACAGAAUAUUUGAUUUUGUUCCUGAGUGUAAUAUAGUACUGGGUGCUUAUGGUAACCAGGUACAUGGCACUACCCAAGCCUAAAAGGCCCAGGUUUUUGGGCAGUUCCCUAAUUGAAGAGGUUAUCACACCUACAGGGAGGCCAUGAUUAUGGCCACCAAUAAAAGAAUUGCCAUUGUAAUUCUGGUAUGUAGGUACUUUUUGGGAGGCAUGUGACUACAAGUGGGUUAAGUGAGAAGGAAUGCACAAAAGGUCAAGAAAUUGUCACAGUGCAAACGUUGGUUAGGCUCCCACCACAUUUAAAAUAUGUAAUCUAAUUUAGGGUAUAAUAAAUUUUGGGUCAGAA